rnacentral:lncRNA from 10 species
GUGUUUCCUAUUAUUUAUAGUAUUUUCUCCAUAUGUGGGGUGCGUCAUGUACACCUGGUGCUGGCAUGUUUGAGAUUUGUGGUAGGAAAGAAGCCUCCCAGGAGAAUGGCGUGAACCCCCGGGGGCGGAGCCUGCAGUGAGCCGAGAUCGCGCCACUGCACUCCAGCCUGGUCGAUAGCGAGACUCCGUCUCAAAAAAAAAAAAAGAAAAAAAAGAAAAGAAACGAAGCCACCAACCAACCCAGCCACCUGGAGGCCAGGGGUGGGUAAUGGCUUGGGCGCCUGGAGGCAGGUCUCUGAGAGGAAGCACUGGGGCAGUUGUCCAAGAGCGCAGGCUGUCUACAGGGUGCUUUCCGUGGGCUUGUUGAAGGCACUUAGCAACACAGAAAUAAGCCUAAACACUAUUUGAAAAACCCCCAAAUCUGUGACCCCUCCCUACCAGCUCCACUAGAGAGUUCCAUGGCCGUCACACAGUGGCAGGGUUUUGCUGACAAGUGGACACCAGAAUUGUCCAACUCGAUUGGAGGCAUCGUGAUCUGCAGAUCUCAGGAAAUGUGCUAAGCCCCCAAGUCACAUCAUUCCAGUUGGUUCUGGACCCCAGCGAGCUUCAUCAGCGCUGAGUGUGGGAGACACUGUGAAACCUUGUUAAGAUCAAGCAGACGGCACACCUUACUUCCUUAUGCAGACACUGGGAAAGACACACAGAGAUGGGCAUGUGGGAAAGACCAAAACUUUCUGCCCUCAGUGGGAAGGGGCGUCUGAAGAGCCACCCUCCUGCACCUCACUCCUUUCUACAAACAGGCGUUCUUGUUGCGUGGCCUGACUAGGGGAGCAGUGGCAGCUCCAGGAUUUCUCCCCAGCACAUUCUAGGUGGUGAUCCAGUUGGGAGUGGGGCCUUGAAGCUGUGUUUGCACCACACAAUGAGGCUGAGACAAUGCCAACCAGCGCUUCACGAUCAAAGCAUGCAGGCGGUGGGGUGUUGAUAUAUAACCUGCCUGUGACCGCACAGUGAGUCGAUGGUGGGCUUGAUUUGAAGUGCAGCAGUCUGGCUCCAGAAAUCACACUUUGCCCCCUGCGCCAGCCUGUCUCCAACCCUCAGACAAACAAAGGUUGUAGGCAGGCACAUGCAGAGAGACCCUUAUGCAUCUGGAAUUAGUGAGAGUUUGAAUGGAAUGGUGCACGUGCUAGGUUUUGUGUUGUCUAUGGGAUGUCUAAAAUAGAACCUUGCUCUGUAACUGACUUUAAAUUACUACGUUAAAAAAAAAAGACAUAAUUAUUCAUUGUUUCUAUGAUGGCUUCUAGUUUACAAAGAAAUUUUACACAUUUUUUGCUUUCUUUGUGUCCAGCCUGGGCUUUGGGUUUUGGGGGCGAGAAUCCCAUUGCUCUGUGGACUCCCAGCCCCCGGGGCCCCUGGGCACACGCAGACUCCCCUCUACUUGCCCAUCCUCCUUCUUUUCCAUUCUCCUUCACCAGUGGUCCAAACACGCGUAUCUGGCAUCUGCUGAGCAGGUUCUUGCUGUCCUGCUUCUUUGGCGCUUUCCAAACGGCAGAAUUCCAGUGCUGUCCUCUGGCAGGUGCCUGAGAAUUACCUGGAGGGGCCACAGCAGGGGACUCUCCGUGCUUCCUUCCCUGUGCUGGAAGAGUCACUUCAGCUGACCUCGUUCAAUGCCCUCUCACUUGGCUCCUGGCAGCCCCUUGCUCCUGGGAUCUCCGUGCCCAGGGACCACUCACCCUCCACCUAGGCAGAGAGCACAAAGCUCUGAAAUCUUUUCUUUUUUUUUUUUUUUUUUUUUGAGACACAGUCUCACUCUGUUGCCCAGGCUGGAGUGCAGUGGCACCAUCUCGGCUCACUGCAACCUCCACCUCCUGGGUUCAAGCAGUCCUCCUACCUCAGCCUCCUGAGUAGCUGGGAUUACAGGCAUGCACCACCAUGCCCUGCUAAUUUUUGUGUUUUUAGUGGAGACGGGGUUUCACCAUGUUGCCCAGGCUGAUCUCCAACUCCUGACCUCAACUGAUCCACCUGCCUUGACCUCCCAAAGUUCUGGGAUUACAGGCAUGAGCCACUGCGCCCGGCCAAAGCUCUGAAAUCUUGACUCUCCUCUCCUCCCCUUCCCUGGGCUGCUGCCUCUGUGGGCCUGGGCAGGGUAGUCCUGGAGUGACGGUGGAGGCAGCAGAACCAGUGAGCCCCUGUCUUAAGCGUUGAGGGGCAUCUGUUCCUAGCUGUCUGCAGCUCUUUUAAAAGGUGAAGUAUUGAGGUGUUUGAUGCCCCUUUGUCCUCAGCCUCGGGUUCUGAUAGCCCAUUUAAUACAACAGAUAGAGCUGCACUCAAGAUCCUCUACAAAUGGGGUACUCUCUCAACACUUGCUUUCCCCAGUCUCUGCUUCCUCCAAUCCUGUUCCAGGAUGGCUAUUGAUGUGUCCCCUGACCCUCUUUCCUGCUUCCCUCCAGCCAUAGGGGAUGUGGCCUGACUUCUCCAAGGGCCUCACCUCCUCCUGCCUCCUCUCCACCUGCCUCCCCCAUGACUUUCCCUUGCUCCGUAACCGUCAUUGUGGCUCACUGGGCAUGGUGGCCAGCGUCGGCUACUUUAAUGUUAGGGGAGCUGUCCGUAUUUUUCACCUCUGAAAAUGUAAUGUAUCCUUGCAACUGAAAAUGGGAAAGACUUCAGCAAAACUUUUGAGACUAGAGAUUUUUAUAAGACAAUUCAUUGAAAACAUUGUCCUGUUUAUUUAAUAGUUACUGGCCUACUUGAUCUUUCGUUUUCUUUUGAGUCAAGUUUGUCCUCUUGCACAUUCUAAUUAGAAGUUUUCACAGCUCUUUGAUAAUAUCGUGUUGCAUUUUGGGCACAGAACUCAACCAGACUGUCACGGUGGGCUCACCUUCUCCCUGCGUCCAUGUGCAUUAGGGUGGGGUUUGACUCUUGUCCUUUGGCAGGUUGUAAAGGGCCAGCUUUGUAUUCAACCACUGUGCUUCAAUCAACUAAAAUACUGUAUCUUACAGGACUACAGAAAAAAUAAAAGCAUUUAUAAGAAGAAAGAAAACCUUCUAAAUUCUUAGAAAGGUUGGCUUUUUAGUGAUUUGUUUCUUCUAAAAAACAAAAAAAGCCACCACAUUUGUCCAUUUAAAGUGGGAAUAUUUAUAAAUGAUUACAAACCAGAUGCAUUUGCAAGCCUUUCAAGAGCAACAGCUCUGUCAAGAAAGUGCUUAAAUAAAAAAGAAAUUAUUGCAAUUUUCAAGUUGAGUGAUAAAGUGUGUAUAAUUGCAGUGGUUAACGUAUGCGUUUAAUGAAGUAUAUCUAUCUUCUUGCGGAACUCCACCAUCAGUUUGGGAUGCAGUAAGUGUAACGAAGACACAAACACUGUUCUUUAUGGGUUAAAAUUCCCAACCUUCCCAUCGUACCUCUGUUAAUCAGCAUUUAGCUAGUGUCAGCUGUUUGACCAACUCCUUGCUAAAUGCCGACAUCCAGGUUUGCCCCAGGGGAGCCUGCAGUCAAGUGGGGGAAGGAAGGCUGGUCCCUGAGGCCUGUGGUUGGGACCAAAGGCUUUGAAGUCAGACAGCCCAGGGUUUUAAUCUCAGCUUCUUUUAACUGAAGGCAGAUGUGGGGAAUUUUCCUGA